AUGUAGCUCAGAGGUUUAGAGCAUUGGUCUUAUGAGCCAAAUGUCGUGGGUUCGAUCCCCACCUCG
rnacentral:ncRNA from 16 species